rnacentral:rRNA from 1 species
CGUGUAGGCUGGUUUUCCAGGCAAAUCCGGAAAAUCAAGGCUGAGGCGUGAUGACGAGGCACUACGGUGCUGAAGCAACAAAUGCCCUGCUUCCAGGAAAAGCCUCUAAGCAUCAGGUAACAUCAAAUCGUACCCCAAACCGACACAGGUGGUCAGGUAGAGAAUACCAAGGCGCUUGAGAGAACUCGGGUGAAGGAACUAGGCAAAAUGGUGCCGUAACUUCGGGAGAAGGCACGCUGACACGUAGGUGAAGUGAUUUACUCAUGGAGCUGAAGUCAGUCGAAGAUACCAGCUGGCUGCAACUGUUUAUUAAAAACACAGCACUGUGCAAACACGAAAGUGGACGUAUACGGUGUGACGCCUGCCCGGUGCCGGAAGGUUAAUUGAUGGGGUCAGCGCAAGCGAAGCUCCUGAUCGAAGCCCCGGUAAACGGCGGCCGUAACUAUAACGGUCCUAAGGUAGCGAAAUUCCUUGUCGGGUAAGUUCCGACCUGCACGAAUGGCGUAAUGAUGGCCAGGCUGUCUCCACCCGAGACUCAGUGAAAUUGAACUCGCUGUGAAGAUGCAGUGUACCCGCGGCAAGACGGAAAGACCCCGUGAACCUUUACUAUAGCUUGACACUGAACAUUGAGCCUUGAUGUGUAGGAUAGGUGGGAGGCUUUGAAGUGUGGACGCCAGUCUGCAUGGAGCCGACCUUGAAAUACCACCCUUUAAUGUUUGAUGUUCUAACGUGGACCCGUAAUCCGGGUUGCGGACAGUGUCUGGUGGGUAGUUUGACUGGGGCGGUCUCCUCCUAAAGAGUAACGGAGGAGCACGAAGGUUGGCUAAUCCUGGUCGGACAUCAGGAGGUUAGUGCAAUGGCAUAAGCCAGCUUGACUGCGAGCGUGACGGCGCGAGCAGGUGCGAAAGCAGGUCAUAGUGAUCCGGUGGUUCUGAAUGGAAGGGCCAUCGCUCAACGGAUAAAAGGUACUCCGGGGAUAACAGGCUGAUACCGCCCAAGAGUUCAUAUCGACGGCGGUGUUUGGCACCUCGAUGUCGGCUCAUCACAUCCUGGGGCUGAAGUAGGUCCCAAGGGUAUGGCUGUUCGCCAUUUAAAGUGGUACGCGAGCUGGGUUUAGAACGUCGUGAGACAGUUCGGUCCCUAUCUGCCGUGGGCGCUGGAGAACUGAGGGGGGCUGCUCCUAGUACGAGAGGACCGGAGUGGACGCAUCACUGGUGUUCGGGUUGUCAUGCCAAUGGCACUGCCCGGUAGCUAAAUGCGGAAGAGAUAAGUGCUGAAAGCAUCUAAGCACGAAACUUGCCCCGAGAUGAGUUCUCCCUGAGACUUAGAGUCUCCUGAAGGAACGUUGAAGACGACGACGUUGAUAGGCCGGGUGUGUAAGCGCAGCGAUGCGUUGAGCUAACCGGUACUAAUGAACCGUGAGG